UACAGAGGGUGCAAGCGUUGUUCGGAAUUAUUGGGCGUAAAGCGCGUGUAGGCGGCUUUGCAAGUCGGGUGUGAAAGCCCUCGGCUCAACCGAGGAAGUGCGCCCGAAACUGCAGAGCUUGAGUACCGGAGAGGAUGGCGGAAUUCCCCAAGUAGAGGUGAAAUUCGUAGAUAUGGGGAGGAACACCGGUGGCGAAGGCGGCCAUCUGGACGGAUACUGACGCUGAGACGCGAAAGCCAGGGGAGCGAACGGG
rnacentral:rRNA from 1 species